rnacentral:rRNA from 1 species
GACGAACGCUGGCGGUGCGCCUAAUACAUGCAAGUCGAACGGUGAACGGGGCUUAGGCCCCCGGAUCAGUGGCGAACGGGUGCGUAACACGUGGGCAACCUGCCCCUCACUAUGGGAUAACCCCGGGAAACCGGAGCUAAUACCGGCUACUCCGGCCGGACCGCAUGGUCCAGCCGGGAAAGGUCCGCCGGUGAGGGAUGGGCCCGCGGCCUAUCAGCUCGUUGGUGGGGUAACGGCCUACCAAGGCUUCGACUGGUAGCUGGUCUGAGAGGACGCCCAGCCAACCUGGGAAGGAGAUGCGGCCCAGACUCAUACGGGAGGCAGCAUUAGGGAAGUUUGCGCAAUGGGAGAAAGCCUGACGAAGCGACCCCGCGUGAGGGAUGAAGGCCUUCGGGUUGUAAACCUAUUUCGGCCGGGACGAAGCGAUCGUGACGGUACCUGCAGAAGAAGCUCCGGCUAACUACGUGCCAGCCGCCGCCGUAAUAC